rnacentral:misc_RNA from 1 species
GAUGAAGAACGCAGCAAAAUGCGAUAAGUAGUGUGAAUUGCAGAAUUCAGUGAAUCAUCGAAUCUUUGAACGCACAUUGCGCCCCUUGGUAUUCCAUGGGGCAUGCCUGUUCGAGCGUCAUUAUAACCCCUCAAGCUCAGCUUGGUGUUGGGGCCUGCUGCACUGGCAGCCCUUAAAAUCAGUGGCGGCGCCAUCUGGCUCUAAGCGUAGUAAUUCUUCUCGCUAUGGAGUCCUGGUGGAUGCUUGCCAUCAACCCCCAAUUUUUCUAUGGUUGACCUCGGAUCAGGUAGGGAUACCCGCUGAACUUAAGCAUAUCAAUAAGCGGAGGA